rnacentral:piRNA from 1 species
UCCGUCUUGAUCUGCGUACGCUAUUGUGA